rnacentral:rRNA from 1 species
CACGUAGGGGGCGAGCGUUGUCCGGAUUUAUUGGGCGUAAAGAGCGUGUAGGCGGCUUUACAGGUCCGUUGUGAAAACUCGAGGCUCAACCUCGAGACGCCGGUGGAAACCGUAAGGCUAGAGUCCGGAAGAGGAGAGUGGAAUUCCUGGUGUAGCGGUGAAAUGCGUAGAUAUCUGGAGGAACACCGGUGGCGAAGGCGGCAUCCUGGACCGACACUGACGCUGAGGAGCGAAAGCUAGGGGAGCAAACGGG